CACUAAGUAGCUAAAUCAGGGUAAAGCGUUAGCCUUUUAAGCUAAAGAUUGGAGACUCCCGACCCCCCUUAGUGA
rnacentral:tRNA from 1 species